AUUAAAACAGCUAUAGUUUAUUUGAUAAUCAAACUUACAUGGAUAACCGUAGUAAUUCUAGAGCUAAUACAUGCUGUACACCUAACUUCAUGGAAAGGUGGUAUUUAUUAGAUAACAACCAAUAUUCCGCAGGUCUAUCGUGGUGAAUCAUAAUAACUGAUCGAAUUGCAAAGCCUUUGGCUGCGAUAAGUCAUUCAAGUUUCUGCCCCAUCAGCUGUAGAUGGUAGUGUAUUGGACUACCAUGGCUUUCACGGGUAACGGARGAUUAGGGUUCGAUUCCGGAGAGGGAGCCUGAGAAACGGCUACCACAUCUAAGGAAGGCAGCAGGSGCGKAAAUUACCCAAUCCUGACUCAGGGAGGUAGUGACAAGAAAUAACGAGCAGUGGCAUUCGCCACUGAAUUGCAAUGAGCCGAAUUUACACCACUUAGUGAGGAUCGAUUGGAGGGCAAGUCUGGUGCCAGCAGCCGCGGUAAUUCCAGCUCCAAUAGCGUAUAUUAAAGUUGUUGCAGUUAAAAAGCUCGUAGU
rnacentral:rRNA from 1 species